GUUUGAACUCAGAUCAUGUAAAAUAUUAAAGGUCGAACAGACCUAAUCUUUUAGCUUCUACACCAAAAUUUAAUUUUAAUCCAACAUCGAGGUCGCAAACUUCUUUUUCGAUUUGAACUCUUUAAAGAAAUUACGCUGUUAUCCCUAAGGUAAUUUAAUCUUAUAAUCAUAAAUAAUGGAUCAAAAAUUCAUAAAUUAAUGUUUUUAUAAAAAAAAAGUUUAUUAAAUUUUUCUAUCACCCCAAUAAAAUAAAUAUUACUAUAAAAAAUUAUAAAAUUCUAAAAACUUUAAAUAAUAAAACCUAUAAAACUCUAUAGGGUCUUCUCGUCUUUUAAAAUUAUUUAAGCUUUUUGACUUAAAAAUAAAAUUCUAAUAAAUUCAAUUUGAGACAGUAUUUUUCUCGUUCAACCAUUCAUUCCAGCUUUCAAUUAAAAAACUAAUUAUUAUGCUACCUUCGCACGGUCAAAGUACCGCGGCCAUUCAAAAUUCAGUGGGCAGGUCAGACUUUAAAUUAAAAUCAAAAAGACAUGUUUUUGAUAAACAGGCG
rnacentral:rRNA from 1 species